GAUGAACGCUGGCGGCGUGCCUAAUACAUGCAAGUCGAGCGAACAGACGAGGAGCUUGCUCCUCUGAUGUUAGCGGCGGACGGGUGAGUAACACGUGGAUAACCUACCUAUAAGACUGGGAUAACUUCGGGAAACCGGAGCUAAUACCGGAUAACAUGUUGAACCGCAUGGUUCAACAGUGAAAGACGGUCUUGCUGUCACUUAUAGAUGGAUCCGCGCCGCAUUAGCUAGUUGGUAAGGUAACGGCUUACCAAGGCAACGAUGCGUAGCCGACCUGAGAGGGUGAUCGGCCACACUGGAGCUAAGACACGGUCCAGACUCCUACGGGAGGCAGCAGUAGGAAAUCUUCCGCAAGGGGCGAAAGCCUGACGGGGCAACGCGGCGUGAGUGAAGAAGGUCUUCGGAUCGUAAAACUUUGUAUUAGGGAAGAACAAAUGUGUAAGUAACUAUGCACGUCUUGACGGUACCUAAUCAGAAAGCCACGGCUAACUACGUG
rnacentral:rRNA from 1 species